UUGGAGGGCAAGUCUGGUGCCAGCAGCCGCGGUAAUUCCAGCUCCAAUAGCGUAUAUUAAAGUUGUUGCAGUUAAAAAGCUCGUAGUUGAAUUUCGGGGUUCUACCGUUGGUCGGGCUAUUGUCUAUACUGGCGUGUAGAAUUUCUACCUUCUGGGGAACUAUCAUGUUAUUAAUUUAGCGUGGUAGGAAACCAGGACCUUUAUCUUGAAAAAAUUAGAGUGUUCAAAGCAGGCUUAUGUCUGAAUACAUUAGCAUGGAAUAAUAAAAUAGGACGGUGGUCCUGUUUUGUUGGUUUCUGAAUCACCGUAAUGAUUAAUAGGGAUAGUUGGGGGCAUUAGUAUUCAAUUGUCAGAGGUGAAAUUCUUGGAUUUAUUGAAGACUAACUACUGCGAAAGCAUUUGCCAAGGAUGUUUUCAUUAAUCAAGAGCGAAAGUUAGGGGAUCGAAGACAAUCAGAUACCGUCGUAGUCUUAACCAUAAACUAUGCCGACUAGGGAUCGGACGAUGUUAACUUUUCUUGACUCGUUCGGCGCCUUACGGGAAA
rnacentral:rRNA from 1 species